UGAUCCUUUCACAACUUCAUAAGAUAAACUUUAUACUAUACCAAUGUCACCAACACUGAAUCAGGUAAAAUAUAUAAAUAUGUUCCUUUUUUUACUAGUUCUACCCCUUCCCAUUUUUUCCUUUCCAUAAAUGUGAACAUUUCUGAAUAUAAGGCCUACCUUUAUCUUUUUUUUGUAUGCUUUCCUCAAAUAAUUUAUGGUACACCAAGUCUUCUGCACCCUAUUAUUAUCAGUAUAAAUGACAUAGAUUUAGAUCUACAGCAUGCUCCCACUUUUAUUUUUUCAUUGUAAAAUUAGAGAUAUUUGACCUUAGGAAUUACAAAAUGAGAAACCAUCUUAUCUCUAAGGUGUCAUAUUAUUUAACUCUUAUUUUUAUGAGAAUGUAAAUUAUGAUAAACUUACUUAUAUGGUGUGACAAAGAGAAGCAGAACCAAAUGAAAAUCUGCGUUUGUAUUAUAUGACUCUGUUUGAGCUUGGACUUGAAGUCUUUUUAAAUCAGUCAUACUUUUGCAUAUCGAAUUUUAAAAUAAAAAACAAUAAGGUUAAAUAUUUUUUAAAUGUUUAAAUUAAAUGUCACAACUUUAACUCAUUCAGUAUUUUAUCUAAGACUUAUACAAUUAUUAUGUGGCUUAGAAAUUAUUUCUCAAUAAUGUGGGAAAUUUCUGAUCAAUCCAAUUGAUUAAUCCAAUUUCAACUUUCAAGUUUUAUUAUUUAAAAAAUACAUUUUUUAAGGCCACAGAAGCCAUAUAUAGUGAGUGAUUCAUUUGGUGGAUCUGGGCAAAGUGAAAACCUGAGAAGGACUCAUCAUUCUGGAUUUCAUUAAGAACACUCAUGAUUCAUGGAAGGUCAAAAUAUCAACAUUAACAGGAGUUUGGAAGUUGAUUCCAACCCUCGUGGAUGUCUUUGAGGGACUCAAGACUUCAGUGGAGGAAUAACCACAUCUAUGGUGGAAAUAGCAAGAGAAAUAAAAUAGAAGUGAAGUCUGAUAGGUGACUGAAUUGCUGCAAUCUUGUAAUAAAAUUUAAUGGAUAAGGAGUUACUUUUUAUGAGUGAGCAAAGAAAGUGUUUUUUUUUUUCAGAUGAAAUCUACUCCUAGUGAAGAUGCUGUGAAGAUUCUUGAAGUAACAAAAGAUUUAGAAUAUUCCAUAAACUUAGCUGAUAAAGUCCUGGCAGAAUUUGAGAGUGUUAAUUCCAAUUUUGAAAGAAGUUCUACUGUGGGUAAAAUGCUAUCAAACAGCGUCAUGUGACACAAGGAAAUAUUUCAUCAAAGGAAGAGUCAAGAGAUAUGACAAAUUUAAUUGUGAUCUUAUUUUGCCAUAGCCACCCCAACUUGCAGCAACUACCAUCCUCAUCAGUCAGCAGCCAUCAGCAUUGAGGAAAGAUCCUUCACCAGCAAAAACAUAACACUUCCCAGAAAUAUCCUACAAUAUUUUAACAUUUUGUGGAAGGCUCAGUUGAUUGUUAGUGUUUUUAGCAAUAAAGUACGUUUAAAUUAAGGUAUCUCAGAUAUAAUGCUAUUGCACACACAAUAGACUACAGUACGGUGUAAAGAUAACUUUAAUACUUACUGAAAAACCAAAGAAUUUGUGUGACUUUAUUGUGUGCAUCUGAAACUGAACGUGCAUUAUCUCGGAGAUAUGCCUGUAUUAGCAAAUAUAAUUCAGCAAUAUAGUAUAGACAGAUAAGUGAAGUUUAUCCCAGAAAAGGAAGAAUAGAUUAUUUGUACUAAAUGUGUUAAUGCACUUUACCUUCCUAAUAUAGAAAAUGGACAAAUACAAUACAGAGAAAAUUCACAAAAGAAAACAAUGACAAUAAACAUUAUGGGGAAAAAAAGAGAGAGAAAGAGAAUGGACCACUCUAGAUAUCAAAUAAAUACAUAUUUAAACAACAAAAUGAAAUUUUUGCCUCAACUUGUUGAUGAUUGAAAUCAUUUAUAAUUAGUGACAUAGAGGCUUUAAGUACACAAGCAUGUAUUUUAUUUUAGUCUUUUUAAGAGCAAUUAUUAAUAUAUAAUUUUUAUAAGUGAGUUUUUUUAAUUUAGGAAUUUUACUGCUAGAAAUUUAGCCUAUAGAAAUAAUUACCAGUAUGCUCUAAGAUUUAACUACAAUAAUAUUCAAAAUAUUUUAAAACAAUGCAAUAAAAGAUUGGUUAAAUAAACAAAAUGUAUUGCAUACUUAAUGUUAUUUAAUAAUACUGUUGAAUAAUGCACUUUCAGAUGUUGGGAUAUUCUUCAUAAAGAAAAACGUACUAGUCAUUAUAAUGUACUCAAUAAAAGAUAAAGUUAACUUAUAAAGCAGUAUGCUCCCAUAUUUCUAAGGCAAAGGGCUACAUUAAGGAAACACACACAAAUGUAGGGACAAAAUAACAUACAUGUGCAUUAUUCUCUGAAGAGAAUGUAUAAAUUUCAAUGGAUUUUCAACGGCAGUUAAAAAUCUCCAAAAGUUCAAAACCAUAGAAAAUAAUAAUGAGAAUGAUCUUGCAAAUUAGAGGACACUAGUGAUUUUAAAUUUCUCCUUCUUGGAUGUUAAAUUA
rnacentral:lncRNA from 10 species